rnacentral:rRNA from 1 species
GGGUUGUGAGGUUAAGCGACUAAGCGUACACGGUGGAUGCCCUGGCAGUCAGAGGCGAUGAAGGACGUGCUAAUCUGCGAUAAGCGUCGGUAAGGUGAUAUGAACCGUUAUAACCGGCGAUUUCCGAAUGGGGAAACCCAGUGUGAUUCGUCACACUAUCAUUAACUGAAUCCAUAGGUUAAUGAGGCGAACCGGGGGAACUGAAACAUCUAAGUACCCCGAGGAAAAGAAAUCAACCGAGAUUCCCCCAGUAGCGGCGAGCGAACGGGGAGCAGCCCAGAGCCUGAAUCAGUGUGUGUGUUAGUGGAAGCGUCUGGAAAGGCGCGCGAUACAGGGUGACAGCCCCGUACACAAAAAUGCACAUGCUGUGAGCUCGAUGAGUAGGGCGGGACACGUGGUAUCCUGUCUGAAUAUGGGGGGACCAUCCUCCAAGGCUAAAUACUCCUGACUGACCGAUAGUGAACCAGUACCGUGAGGGAAAGGCGAAAAGAACCCCGGCGAGGGGAGUGAAAAAGAACCUGAAACCGUGUACGUACAAGCAGUGGGAGCACGCUUAGGCGUGUGACUGCGUACCUUUUGUAUAAUGGGUCAGCGACUUAUAUUCUGUAGCAAGGUUAACCGAAUAGGGGAGCCGAAGGGAAACCGAGUCUUAACUGGGCGUUAAGUUGCAGGGUAUAGACCCGAAACCCGGUGAUCUAGCCAUGGGCAGGUUGAAGGUUGGGUAACACUAACUGGAGGACCGAACCGACUAAUGUUGAAAAAUUAGCGGAUGACUUGUGGCUGGGGGUGAAAGGCCAAUCAAACCGGGAGAUAGCUGGUUCUCCCCGAAAGCUAUUUAGGUAGCGCCUCGUGAAUUCAUCUCCGGGGGUAGAGCACUGUUUCGGCAAGGGGGUCAUCCCGACUUACCAACCCGAUGCAAACUGCGAAUACCGGAGAAUGUUAUCACGGGAGACACACGGCGGGUGCUAACGUCCGUCGUGAAGAGGGAAACAACCCAGACCGCCAGCUAAGGUCCCAAAGUCAUGGUUAAGUGGGAAACGAUGUGGGAAGGCCCAGACAGCCAGGAUGUUGGCUUAGAAGCAGCCAUCAUUUAAAGAAAGCGUAAUAGCUCACUGGUCGAGUCGGCCUGCGCGGAAGAUGUAACGGGGCUAAACCAUGCACCGAAGCUGCGGCAGCGACGCUGAUGCGUUGUUGGGUAGGGGAGCGUUCUGUAAGCCUGCGAAGGUGUGCUGUGAGGCAUGCUGGAGGUAUCAGAAGUGCGAAUGCUGACAUAAGUAACGAUAAAGCGGGUGAAAAGCCCGCUCGCCGGAAGACCAAGGGUUCCUGUCCAACGUUAAUCGGGGCAGGGUGAGUCGACCCCUAAGGCGAGGCCGAAAGGCGUAGUCGAUGGGAAACAGGUUAAUAUUCCUGUACUUGGUGUUACUGCGAAGGGGGGACGGAGAAGGCUAUGUUGGCCGGGCGACGGUUGUCCCGGUUUAAGCGUGUAGGCUGGUUUUCCAGGCAAAUCCGGAAAAUCAAGGCUGAGGCGUGAUGACGAGGCACUACGGUGCUGAAGCAACAAAUGCCCUGCUUCCAGGAAAAGCCUCUAAGCAUCAGGUAACAUCAAAUCGUACCCCAAACCGACACAGGUGGUCAGGUAGAGAAUACCAAGGCGCUUGAGAGAACUCGGGUGAAGGAACUAGGCAAAAUGGUGCCGUAACUUCGGGAGAAGGCACGCUGAUAUGUAGGUGAAGUCCCUCGCGGAUGGAGCUGAAAUCAGUCGAAGAUACCAGCUGGCUGCAACUGUUUAUUAAAAACACAGCACUGUGCAAACACGAAAGUGGACGUAUACGGUGUGACGCCUGCCCGGUGCCGGAAGGUUAAUUGAUGGGGUCAGCGCAAGCGAAGCUCUUGAUCGAAGCCCCGGUAAACGGCGGCCGUAACUAUAACGGUCCUAAGGUAGCGAAAUUCCUUGUCGGGUAAGUUCCGACCUGCACGAAUGGCGUAAUGAUGGCCAGGCUGUCUCCACCCGAGACUCAGUGAAAUUGAACUCGCUGUGAAGAUGCAGUGUACCCGCGGCAAGACGGAAAGACCCCGUGAACCUUUACUAUAGCUUGACACUGAACAUUGAGCCUUGAUGUGUAGGAUAGGUGGGAGGCUUUGAAGUGUGGACGCCAGUCUGCAUGGAGCCGACCUUGAAAUACCACCCUUUAAUGUUUGAUGUUCUAACGUUGACCCGUGAUCCGGGUUGCGGACAGUGUCUGGUGGGUAGUUUGACUGGGGCGGUCUCCUCCUAAAGAGUAACGGAGGAGCACGAAGGUUGGCUAAUCCUGGUCGGACAUCAGGAGGUUAGUGCAAUGGCAUAAGCCAGCUUGACUGCGAGCGUGACGGCGCGAGCAGGUGCGAAAGCAGGUCAUAGUGAUCCGGUGGUUCUGAAUGGAAGGGCCAUCGCUCAACGGAUAAAAGGUACUCCGGGGAUAACAGGCUGAUACCGCCCAAGAGUUCAUAUCGACGGCGGUGUUUGGCACCUCGAUGUCGGCUCAUCACAUCCUGGGGCUGAAGUAGGUCCCAAGGGUAUGGCUGUUCGCCAUUUAAAGUGGUACGCGAGCUGGGUUUAGAACGUCGUGAGACAGUUCGGUCCCUAUCUGCCGUGGGCGCUGGAGAACUGAGGGGGGCUGCUCCUAGUACGAGAGGACCGGAGUGGACGCAUCACUGGUGUUCGGGUUGUCAUGCCAAUGGCACUGCCCGGUAGCUAAAUGCGGAAGAGAUAAGUGCUGAAAGCAUCUAAGCACGAAACUUGCCCCGAGAUGAGUUCUCCCUGACUCCUUGAGAGUCCUGAAGGAACGUUGAAGACGACGACGUUGAUAGGCCGGGUGUGUAAGCGCAGCGAUGCGUUGAGCUAACCGGUACUAAUGAACCGUGAGGCUUAACCUUACAACGCCGAAG